rnacentral:rRNA from 1 species
AGUGAACGCUGGCGGUAGGCCUAACACAUGCCAGUCGAACGGCAGCACAGUAAGAGCUUGCUCUUACGGGUGGCGAGUGGCGGACGGGUGAGGAAUACAUCGGAAUCUACUUUUUCGUGGGGGAUAACGUAGGGAAACUUACGCUAAUACCGCAUACGACCUACGGGUGAAAGCAGGGGAUCUUCGGACCUUGCGCGAUUGAAUGAGCCGAUGUCGGAUUAGCUAGUUGGCGGGGUAAAGGCCCACCAAGGCGACGAUCCGUAGCUGGUCUGAGAGGAUGAUCAGCCACACUGGAACUGAGACACGGUCCAGACUCCUACGGGAGGCAGCAGUGGGGAAUAUUGGACAAUGGGCGCAAGCCUGAUCCAGCCAUACCGCGUGGGUGAAGAAGGCCUUCGGGUUGUAAAGCCCUUUUGUUGGGAAAGAAAAGAAGCAGGUUAAUACCCCGCUGUUCUGACGGUACCCAAAGAAUAAGCACCGGCUAACUUCGUG